CUCAUUUUCUUCUUUUCUCUCUCUUGACGAAACGGCGAAUCGAUUUCUUGUUCCGGCUUCAAAAACACAACGAUCUCGUCCUCCGAACCUAUCACCCAAAGAUUCAGCGGUCUUUCGGAGAUUUCAACUCCUUCUUUUGCCAGCGGAUACGGUUGCGCAUCGUCUCUUGGUCAGGAAGUUCACGCUAAUUAAAUGCCUCACAAGUUUAAUCCUGAAGAAGUUGUUCUGUAUCAGUACGAGGCUUGCCCUUUCUGUAACAAGGUUAAAGUUACAAGCUCAAAAAGGCAUGUUGUUCAAGAGUAGAUGGAGCUCUCAUUGUGCAACCCAUCAAUCACAAGUUUGAUCAUUCAAGAGAGAAGGACCAAUCUCUUAUGAAUUUGUGCAAUUUCGUUUAGUAUCUUACUCAAUCUGAAAACUUGAAUUUCUUAUGUGUGUUUGGGAUAGAUCAGAUUCUCAAAGAGUUUGUAGCAUCAACUAGAAUUGGCGAUCUUGGUGAAUGGUGCCUAUAUGAAUCAUAAGUUGCAGGUAGUCAAUGAAUCUCUGAAUGGUGCAAAUUGCCAACAUGUCUCUGUUUAGGUGGUGGGAACAUGUUCAAGAGUGGUCUAGAGCAUAUUAUUGCAGAAUGGUGGUCUUUGGUUGUACAACACAACAAACCUGCAUCUUCGGGAGGGAAGCAUUACUAAGAAGGUAUGAUGAAUGUGGUGAAGGGUAGCCAACAUGAGGCUACUGGUGGAGAGAAGAGUCUGAGGGAUGUGAGCGAAGACUCUUAUCACAUCUUUUACUUUGUUAUUCAUAAUUCCUAAUUCUGUAAUCUGAGAGUUUUAAUAGUUGUUUGGAUCUUAUUGUAUAUGGAUUUGAGCUUGUAUUGAGAGAUAAACGAGUAUUAUUGAGAUCAAA